GCAUGGCUGAAUAGUGUGUUCUUUCAUUAGUAGUUUAUACAGCCAGACACCAUGGGAAAGCAGUCUUCCCUUGAGAAUGACAGAUGGUAUGCUAAGGUUUUUGAUAGCAUAUCAUUAUUAAAGGUGAAUAAAAAU
ensembl:snoRNA